CGCAGCAACGAAGACCCAAUGCAGCCAAAAAUAAAUAAAAUAAAUAAAUUAAAAAAAAAAGAAGUUUUAAAGUGGAUGUCAGAACAGGCUUUUGAAUUAUUGAUGUGAUUUCAUUAUCAACAUGAUUACUACAUAUUAACCUACUAAUUAUUAAUAUCUGAUUAAAUUAUUCAUGUAUUUAAUUGUUCUCUAUGGUUCAUUAGGACAAUUUACUCCUCAUAAUCCCCACUGUAUCCUAUGUAGAUUACAGAAGAGUUAUAUAAAGUGAGAUGUGUUUGCUACUGGGGAAUCACAUACCCUCCUUAUUUUAAUAGCUAUGCACUACUUUUUUUCCUGUUAGGAAAAUAUUGAAGUUUGUGCUAGGCUGUGUGUUUGGAUCCUGAGUUCUUUCCUUACUAGUCUUGGAAUUUGGGACAAGUCACUUGACCUUACCUUAAAACAAGGUAUAAAAUAAUAUCAACCUCACAAUUAUUGGGUUAGCAUAUGAGAAAACCAAAUUCCAACCCUGGGCAAUGAAUGAACAUUUUUAUUUUUAAAUUUUAAAAAAAACUAAAAAAAUUUUUAUUGGAGUAUUGUUGAUUUACAAUGCUGUGUUAUUUUCAGGUGUACGCAAAGUGAAUCUGUUAUACAUAUACAUAUAUCCACUCUUUUUUUUUAGAUUCUUUUCCCAUAUAGGUCAUUACAGAGUAUUGAGUAGAGUUCCCUGUGCAUUUUUAUUUUUUAAAUUAAAAUUUUUUUCUUUAGAUCUUUAUAUAAUACCUAGUAUUUUAUAUAAAUCUAUAGGGGAUUCUUUCAUUCACAACCAGACAUAUAUCUCCAGUUUCUGAAUUUCAGUGUCCCUGAAGUCAAUGUUACAUUCCACUUUGAAUUAUCUUCCUCCAGGAAAUAUGAGAAUGAACAUUUUUAAUUGGGAGAAAGGAAUAGGAAAUGCAAUCUGGGAAUAUAAACCACUCGUUUGAACACUUGAGAAGGAAGAGCAAAAGAGAAGAGAAGCACCCAGGAAAUUGCCAUAAUGGACAAACACAAAAUGGAAUAGACAUGGGAAGCUGAGAUCCAGAACAAACUGCUGUGGCUGUGGAGAGGUGAGGAAAGUCCUAGAGACCACCCUGCCUGGGAAGUAUCAUCCUAUUUGCUCCUCUCAUUCUGGCUCAUGUACCCUUCCCUCUGCUUAUCCUGCCCAAAGGCAGCAGCAGAAAUGGGGGAGGGACUUUGGUCUUAGUAGACAGGUAAGCAGCCCUACAUCUAGAGUUGCUUUUUGCAAUGUGCCUAGUUUCAGUUCAACACCCCUAGUUUCAUGACCUCCAGCCCCACUGCCACCAUUCCUUUCAAUACUACAUCAAAUGCCAAAUACUAUAUGUUAUCAUCUGCUACAACAGCAUCAUCAUUACCCCACUACUACCACUGCAACCUCUGCUCAUUCUCACCAUCACCUCUACCACCUCCACCAGCUCCAUCACUUCUAUCACCUUCACCACUACCAUGAACACCACCACAAUUUUAAGCACGACCACUGCCAUCUCCGCUAAUUCUCACCACCACUACCACCUCUGCCACCUCUAUCACCUUCAUCAUCCCCACUGUCACCACCUCCACUGCCAUCACCACGAUCACAUCUACCACCUUUAGCACUACUACCACUGUCAUCACCACCAGCACCUCCACCACCAUCGUUACCACCACCACUGCUACCACAAUCCAUUCUCUUCUUACCACCAUUGCCACCACCAUCACUAUUGCUUCUCAUUCUCACCAGCACCACGACUAGCACGGAGAAGAAAAGACUUAGGGCUUGCUGAAGAGCCAUCUUCAAAGGAUUAAAAGGCUACAGAAGAAUAAAGUUCUUAGUAGGGGCAAAGAAGCUAGAGUUGGAAAAAUGGACAGAAUUAAAGGAAUUAUAGUGACAUUUAGGUAAAUGUAAGCAAUGUUUUUCAUGGACCUAGGGGAGACAAGAGGGGUGAGAAGUUUGAUGAUAAAAUCUGGAAUUUGAUGAGUAAUUUGGAGCAUGUUGAGUUUACUUACCUAAGGUGACAACCAGUCACUCACUGAUGUUUGGAUCCCUGCUAUAGAAUCCCUUAAGAGUGGCAAUCUAAGGUAUAUAUCUUCAAUUGUUUUAGUAUUUGGGAGGUCAUUUAAUCCUGAAGCAUCUGGUUUCUUCUGGCUAUUUUUAUAAGUUUCUGAUUAUUCCACAAUACUGAAAUACAUUAUCUUUUAAAAAUUUAAGACAUUUUAGAUCAGGGUGAUAUUCUUCCUGGUCAUCCUUCCCAAUCCUUGUUCCUAAAUCCAUGUUGCCUUUUCACAGGCAACCAGUGUUAUAAUUUGGUAUGAUUUUUUUGGUAGGUCAUUUUCUUGCCAUUAUGUACAUAUUUAGAAACAAUAUAGUAGUAUAUGUACAUUUUACAUGAAUACCAUGUGUCUUAUGUGUCUUUCUGCCCCUUACUUUUUUUCCCCCACUCAACAAUAGAUUAGUGCAAUUGUUAAGAGGAUGAACUCUGGAGCCAGACUGCCUGGCUUCAGUUCACAGCUUUGUCACUUGCUAUUUGCAUGAUCUAAAUUAUUAAACUCCCCUAGUCUACAGUUUCCCCCUUUGUUAAUUGGGACUAUAGCAUACCUAUACCCAUACAGUUCUUGUGAGGAUUAAAUGAGUUAAUUUAUGUAAGCACUUAGUACAGUGCCUCAACCAUACUGUUGACAGGUAUAAAGUCAUAUUAUUGCUUGCUGGUAUUCCUUAGUAAUUUAUAGGUUGGAUCUGCCACAGUCUAUUUAACCAUUCCUAAAUGGAUGGACAUAGAGAUUACUCCAAUUUUCAUGAUUGCAAACAUGGCUUCUAUGCGUGUUUUCAUAUAUGCCUACUUAUACACAUGAAUGAUAGUAUCUCAAAGGUAGAGAAGAAGUCAAAUUGCUGCACUUAUUUUAUUUUAUUUUUAACAUCUUUAUUGGAGUUUAAUUGCUUUACAAUUGUGUGUUAGUUUCUUCUUUAUAACAAAGUGAACCAGCUAUACAUAUACAUAUACAUAUAUCCCCAUAUCUCCUCCCUGUUGCAUGCAUUUGUCAUUUUAAAGGCUUUCUUAGAAAAACAUAAUUAUAAUGAGUAGAUAGCUUCCUCCUGUUCCUCCCACCUGUUGGUUUAAUUCUCCUCCCUUUGGCAGCCUGAGCCACACUGCAGCUCUGAAGUGAUAGACCCCAGUGGUUAGGACUAAUAACCUCAGGUUCAGAUUAACUUUGGGGGUGGGGUGGGGUCACAUUUUUGGGAGGCAUACUAAAUAUUUACGUAUAAUAACUCAUUUAAUCAUUAUGAUGCAGGUACCCUGACUAUCCCUAUUUUACCCCUGAGGAAAUGGAGGCAAAAAGAAGCAAUGCCAUUACUCUGGGUUGCACAACUAUAAGUGGUAGAUCCUUUAUACAGGUAUGAAUGUUGAGUCCUUAGUCCAUGUAAACGUCUUAGUAUUCUGCUCAGCACAUAGAAAACAUUCAGUAAGUGUUAGCAUUUUUCUAGGGUUGAUUGGUAUAUUAUUAAGCCUCCAGAAUUAUUAUUUACUGUUACCCUUACUGUCCUCAGAUUGUGAUGCAGCUCAUCUCUGAGGCAUUUCUUUCAUUUGUCUUAACAAAAUAAUAGGAAAUUGUGGUUUCAAGCCUUGGCUGACCAAAAUCUCUGAUUCUACUCUAUAGCCACAGACCACAUACUUACCCUUGGAGGGCACCUGCUGAAAUUAACACCUUCUGCUCUGUGUUUGCCCACAAAGAAGACAAAUGCAAAUAUAGUUAAAUGCAAAUGUGGGUACAUAUAAUAUCUCAUUGCUGGUGGAUAGGGAGUUGACUUAUACUGGAUGCCCAGGAAAGAGAUGAAUGAGGGGAACACUGUACCUGUGACUUGAGGAGAGGUCAGCUGGUUUGAGAUGUCAGAGUGGAGGUGGACUAGAAAAGGACUUUCCUUCUGACCCAGAAAAUUGUGCUGGACCAAGAAGGAAAUGGCAUUCACUCUCUCAUUGAACAUUUACUCUGGGGUAGAAUACGGAGAUACAGAGAUGUAGGAGACACAGCCCCUCCAGGAGCUUGCAUGGAAGCACGGAAGACAGAUGCGUAGAUGAAUGAUUGCAGUACGGGGUGAUACACAAGGACACCCUCUAGAGGCUGCACUAGAGGCGCAUAGAGUGGUGGGGUCUUCCUAGAGCUCGGAUCCUUCAGAAUAUGUCAGAGGGACAAAAGGGUAGAGGAGGAAUUCAAGACAGAGGGAAGGGCAUGUGCGAAGGUGUGGGUGUAAGACAGCAGGGCAAGUGUAAGUCAUCCUGGGUUUGGAAGGACGGCGCGGUAGCGCAUGUGCGGAGUGGAGGGUGAGGCACCGCUGGGUUGCAUCACGGAGGGGGCUGAAAGCCAUGUCGAGGAGAAUUGACUUUUAUCUUAAUUUUGUUAGCGAAGUUAUUUCUUCAAAUAUUGGCAUCCAGAGGAAAAGCUGAGUUGCCUGGAGGUGGGAGCGGGCUUGCUGGAGAGAAAGCACAGCGGGAACAGUUCCAGGCAGGGGCUGGCAGUGGCCCUGGAAAAUGUUAGAAGGUGGACCUUGCCAUGAUGACCGCGUUUGACUGGCUCCCUUGUCACGUGGAACAAACAAAUAAAUCGUUGAAAACCUUUGCCCUGACCAGUUGUCACAGAGUUCUUCCAUUUAAUCUUUUUUUAAAAAAUAAUUUUAUUUAUUUACUUAUUGGGCUGUGUUGGGUCUUCAUUACUGUGCGCGGGCUUUCUCCAGUUGCAGCGAGCAGGGGCUACCCUUCAUUGCUGUGCGCAGGCUUCUCAUUGCAGUGGCUUCUCUUGUUGCGGAGCAUGGGCCCUAGAGUGUGUGGGCUUCAGUAGCUGUGGUUCGUGGGCUCUAGAGCGCAGGCUCAGUAGUUGUGGUGCACAGGCUUAGCUCCUCCGCGGCAGGUGGGAUCUUCUCAGACCAGGGCUUGAACCCAUGUCCCCUGCACUAGCAGGUGGAUUCUUAACCACUGCGCCAUCAGGGAAGCCCUUAUUUAAUCUUUAAGUUAGCUUGUGAUUUUGGCGUUGUUGUUACGACCAUGGGGCAGCUGAGUAAAUGAAGGCUCAGCAAGGCUGAGGAAGUUGCUUCAAACCACACAAGCGUGUGAGUGCUAGAGUGUUCAUUUGAAGCCCUGCACCAUCUAGGGCUCCCUGGCUGUCAUCAGAGGCCAGGAGAAGUGACAGCAGAGUCUGUUAUGCCGCGUUCUCCUAUGGAGCGUCACUUUAUGUAGCUGUGGAGGGCAGUUACGCCCAGGGAUGACUAGUUCUCUGAUAAAAUGGCCCCAUGGGGCCCCAUUUGGUGUCCGAGGUGAUGACCAGAUAUCCUGCUAAGGAGGAAGGGUGUGGGGAGACCCAGAAAUCCUGCAUAGCCUCUAGGCGGUUCCCCUUCUCCCCAGGGCCGAGGCAGCAGGUGAGACCUCCAGAGUUUGCAGGUGGAAGAGGGGCUUGUGGCUUUCAUCACAAGGGAAAGGCUAGAUCGGCAUAACUCCAUCAUCCCUUCUGCAAAAACUUCUCCCAGGACAUGCUGACUCUGCCAACAAAGCUCAGCAGGUCAGUUUGGCAAAACGGCCCCUCAGGUGCUGCCUUUCUUCUGCAAAGUUUCCGCAACAAGAAAAAGGGAUUUCUUAACAGCUCAGGUGUAAUAAUGAAUGGGUGGAGGGUGCACUGGUGAACUGGGGUACAGCCUCACCACCCCCUGCAAGGUUUCCUGCGCAUGUGGAAACCUUGGGUCUCGGGAACUUGGCAGGCUACUCCACCUCUGAAUUGAGGAAAGGGGGAUGCCUUCCACACUUAAUUUCUUUGGUUCUUCAGAUACUUUCAUUUUCCUCAUACAAUGUGUCAGCCAUCUCGACAAGGGUUUUACAAGCAGGACCUGAUUUUAUGUCCACAGUAACCCAGAAGAGUGGGUACUGAUGCCUCCAUCUAACAGAUAAGAAUGUGAUGCACAUUGCCAUUAAUAUCUGUUUGAUGCUGUAUCCAUUGCCAUUCAGCGGACACAGACAGGUGCUGUUCUGGAUGCUGGGUAGACAGCAGAGAAUGUGGCCACAAGGACUUGAUUACAGUGGCACCAGGCAGGCUGCUCCCAGGAUGGAAAGAAAUAGUGGACAUGAAUGUGUUUGAUAGACCAAAAAGUGCCACAAACCUCUAGGGGACAUCCUGGCAGGAAUAAAGGCUCAGCACACUGUGAAAACUGGAUAACACUGUGGAUCAGAAAGCUUAGGAGAUCUGUCACUUGUGACUGCCCCACCACACCACUUCAGCUGGGCUCCUCGUGGUCUUGGCCUGGAAGGUUCUAGGGGUCAGACAUAGCACUGUACUUGUUGCCCAACUUUCACAAGCUAUGAGAGCACCCCCCCACCCCGCC